rnacentral:rRNA from 1 species
CACUCCUGCGGGAGGCAGCAGUGGGGAAUUUUGGACAAUGGGCGAAAGCCUGAUCCAGCAAUGCCGCGUGAGUGAAGAAGGCCUUCGGGUUGUAAAGCUCUUUUGUCAGGGAAGAAACGGUGAGAGCUAAUAUCUUUUGCUAAUGACGGUACCUGAAGAAUAAGCACCGGCUAACUACGUGCCAGCAGCCGCGGUAAUACGUAGGGUGCAAGCGUUAAUCGGAAUUACUGGGCGUAAAGCGUGCGCAGGCGGUUUUGUAAGUCUGAUGUGAAAUCCCCGGGCUCAACCUGGGAAUUGCAUUGGAGACUGCAAGGCUAGAAUCUGGCAGAGGGGGGUAGAAUUCCACGUGUAGCAGUGAAAUGCGUAGAUAUGUGGAGGAACACCGAUGGCGAAGGCAGCCCCCUGGGUCAAGAUUGACGCUCAUGCACGAAAGCGUGGGGAGCAAACAGGAUUAGAAACCCCAGUAGUCCCAUGA